CGUUCCUACGGGGGGCAGCAGUGGGGGAUAUUGCACAAUGGGGGGAACCCUGAUGCAGCGACGCCGCGUGGGCGAUGGAGUGCUUCGGCAUGUAAAGCCCUAUCAGCAGGGAAGAAAAUGACGGUACCUGACUAAGAAGCCCCGGCUAAAUACGUGCCAGCAGCCGCGGUAAUACGUAUGGGGCAAGCGUUAUCCGGAUUUACUGGGUGUAAAGGGAGCGUAGACGGCAGGGCAAGUCUGGAGUGAAAGCCCGGGGCCCAACCCCGGGACUGCUUUGGAAACUGCCAUGCUAGAGUGCUGGAGAG
rnacentral:rRNA from 1 species